rnacentral:rRNA from 1 species
CCUACGGGCGGCAGCAGUGGGGAAUAUUGGACAAUGGGCGAAAGCCUGAUCCAGCCAUGCCGCGUGUGUGAAGAAGGCCUUCGGGUUGUAAAGCACUUUCAGUGGGGAAGAAAGCCUUGGGGCUAAUACCCUCGAGGAAGGACAUCACCCACAGAAGAAGCACCGGCUAACUCCGUGCCAGCAGCCGCGGUAAUACGGAGGGUGCGAGCGUUAAUCGGAAUUACUGGGCGUAAAGCGCGCGUAGGCGGUCUGAUAAGCCGGUUGUGAAAGCCCCGGGCUCAACCUGGGAACGGCAUCCGGAACUGUCAGGCUAGAGUGCAGGAGAGGAAGGUAGAAUUCCCGGUGUAGCGGGGAAAUGCGUAGAGAUCGGGAGGAAUACCAGUGGCGAAGGCGGCCUUCUGGACUGACACUGACGCUGAGGUGCGAAAGCGUGGGUAGCAAACAGGAUUAGAUACCCUAGUAGUC